ensembl:lncRNA
ACAUUCUUCUGGCCAUUGUCCUAUGUUCUUGUGAAAUGAUCUCUCUGAAAUGCAGCCUGAACGUGACAUCCCUGUUCAGCAUCUCUGUUGACUGGCAUGGCCUUCUGAUAUCUUCUCUCUCCCAAAUCUCCUGGAAAGUAAGUCUGGCCUCCUGCCCACUGCUUUAAAUACUACCCCAGAUACAGGGAGCUCUGCCACCAUCAAGGCAACUCAGAUGGUAGGAUCCCUGGUGCUCAGGCCUUUUCUCUGACCUCCCAGUCUCAUGGGCAUCCCUGGUCUGGACCGAGCCCUGCUUCAGGAGUCCUGCUCACUGAGUGGAUUCUUUAUCACUGAGCCACUAGUGAUAAAGCCCAUCAGACGAAUGGCUGAUUCAUCCGGCUAUGCCAGGUGUGAGCCCUACAAGGUGAGCCUGGGCCUGGACCCAGGUGUGAAAUACCCCAGGAAGCCAACAGGAGCUGGGCUGCCAAUCAAAGGGCUGUCCCUGAUGGCAUAGUGGUCUGGCGGCCCACCCCCUGCCUGCCUCUCCAUCACCAAGCUCCAGGAACACUGCCUCCUUGCCAUUUCCUGAAUGAACCUGGGUCUUCUUUGAUGUCCCUUGAGGACAGCUCCUUCUCGUGCAGCAGGAGAGAUCCCCUCUCCCCAACCCUUCCUUGGAGACUGUCCUUGGCACCAGGCCCAAUGACCUCUCCUCCCCAGGCCCUUCUAGCACCUUGCCUGCCUGACUGCCCACCCCUCACCUCACUGGUCUUAUCUUAAUGAAAGUGAAAAGUGAAAAUGAAGUCACUCAGUCGUGUCCGACUCUUUGCGACCCCAUGGACUGUAGCCUACCAGGCUCCUCCGUCCAUGGGAUUCUCCAGGCAAGAAUCCUGGAGUGGGUUGCCAUUUCCUUCUCCAGGGGACCUUCCCGACCUAGGGAUUGAACCCAGGUGUCCCGCAUUGUAGGCAGACGCUUUACC